ensembl:lncRNA
AGAAGGAAACACAGGUGGUUGUGUUCUAGCUGGUUGAGGGGUGAUGAGGUAUGACCCACAGCUGAACAGGGCAAACCAGGCAAUCUGUGGAGGGAGGCUGAGCUCAUUGGCUUGAGGUGUAAUGUCACAAACUGUGAGAUUGAGGCUCUUAUGGAACCCAAGGGAAGAAGUGAUGCUCUGGUGCUUUCUGGUGUAUAUCUACUGAUGCUAGGAAAAACUUGCUUCAGUGGUAUCUGCAGAUCAUGCUGGGAAUCAUAGAAUACCUUGAGGUGGAAGGGACCCAGAAGGAUCAUCGAGACCAACUCCUAGCUCCACACAGGACCACCUAAAAAUCAGACCAUAUGUCUGAGUGCAUUGUCCAGAUGCCUCCUGAACUCUGGCAACUUUGGCCAUGCCCACUGCCCUGGGGAGCCUGUUACAUGCCAACUGUCAUGAAGAACAUUUACCGUCCAUUUUCUCUAGAGCCAUUGGAUCAAAACAUUCUGUAAAGUAAGAUGAAGAUGUUUCUGAAGUACAAGACUGUACUUUUUUCUAAUGAAUGUUGCCAGAAAGGAUCUUGCUUAAAAAGAGAGAUUCCAAACCCUCCUUUCCUCUUCUUUCCUCAGUAAAAUACAGUGUGCUCAUCAGAUGGUUAAAAUAUCCUUUCCAUCCAUCUCAAGUGGUACCACACAGCAUAAUGAAAGCAGCUGGUUAGCUUCACGUUGAUGCCAUGCCAUGGAAAAAUGUUUUGCUGGCAUUUCACUCUCUGGUGGAGAUGAGAUGUGAGACAAUGGUUCUUCUUGUAUUGCAAUUCAAGCUUUCAUGCCAGCACCUCCCAAUUCAAAUAGUUCCAACUCACUUCUUCAAAUGCAGCUUUCGCUGAGUGCUCAUUUCAAUUCUGUUAUGUUCAUGAUUGUCUCUGCUGAAGCAUCAGCCAAGCCAUGCUAUGCACUCUGUGAACUUGGAAGCACUUCUAUCUGGCUCGGAGAAGC